UCUGUGCUAAGGUAGCGAAGUCAUUAGUUCUUUUAUUGGGAACUUGUAUGAGUGGAUUUACUUAGAGAUAUUAGUGAAUAGCUUAAGUAUUGAAUUUUAUAUAUUAAUGAAAAAUUUAAUUUUUUACUAAAGACGAGAAGACCCUAAAAUCUUUAUUUACUGAUUAAAAAGUUAGUAGGUUUAUUUGGGGGAAAGUUUUUUGAUUAAUAAAUUUUUUUUUAGGAUGAACUUUUUUAGGCUGGAUGGAUAGAUACUUUAGGGAUAACAGGAUAAUCUGUUUAUAGAGUUCUUAUUUUUGAGUGGGUUUGUUACCUCGCUGUUGGCUUUUGAA
rnacentral:rRNA from 1 species